UAGGGAAUCUUCGGCAAUGGACGAAAGUCUGACCGAGCAACGCCGCGUGAGCGAAGAAGGCCUUCGGGUCGUAAAGCUCUGUUGUUAGAGAAGAACAUGGGUGAGAGUAACUGUUCACCCCUUGACGGUAUCUAACCAGAAAGCCACGGCUAACUACGUGCCAGCAGCCGCGGUAAUACGUAGGUGGCAAGCGUUGUCCGGAAUUAUUGGGCGUAAAGCGCGCGCAGGCGGUCUCUUAAGUCUGAUGUGAAAGCCCCCGGCUCAACCGGGGAGGGUCAUUGGAAACUGGGAGACUUGAGGACAGAAGAGGAGAGUGGAAUUCCAAGUGUAGCGGUGAAAUGCGUAGAUAUUUGGAGGAACACCAGUGGCGAAGGCGGCUCUCUGGUCUGUUACUGACGCUGAGGCGCGAAAGCGUGGGGAGCAAACAGGAUUAGAUACCCUGGUAGUCCACGCCGUAAACGAUGAGUGCUAAGUGUUAGGGGGUUUCCGCCCCUUAGUGCUGCAG
rnacentral:rRNA from 1 species